UACGUAGGGUGCAAGCGUUAAUCGGAAUUACUGGGCGUAAAGCGUGCGCAGGCGGUUAUGUAAGACAGAUGUGAAAUGCCCGGGCUUAACCUGGGAACUGCAUUUGUGACUGCAUGGCUAGAGUUGGCAGAGGGGGGUAGAAUUCCACGUGUAGCAGUGAAAUGCGUAGAUAUGUGGAGGAACACCGAUGGCGAAGGCAGCCCCCUGGGUCAAGACUGACGCUCAUGCACGAAAGCGUGGGGAGCAAACAGG
rnacentral:rRNA from 1 species